rnacentral:rRNA from 1 species
UACGUAGGUGACCAGCGUUGUCCGGAUUUACUGGGCGUAAAGAGCGCGCAGGCGGUCGUUCAAGUCGAGUGUGAAAGCCCCCGGCUCAACUGGGGAGGGUCACUCGAUACUGAUCGACUUGAAGGCAGGAGAGGGAAGCGGAAUUCCCGGUGUAGUGGUGAAAUGCGUAGAUAUCUGGAGGAACACCGGUGGCGAAGGCGACAUCCUGGACCGGUAUUGACGCUGAGGCGCGAAAGCCAGGGGAGCAAACGGG